rnacentral:rRNA from 1 species
GACGAACGCUGGCGGCGUGCUUAACACAUGCAAGUCGAACGGAAAGGCCCUGCUUUUGUGGGGUGCUCGAGUGGCGAACGGGUGAGUAACACGUGAGUAACCUGCCCUUGACUUUGUGAUAACUUCAGGCAACUGGGGCUAAUACCGGAUAGGAGCUCCUGCUGCAUGGUGGGGGUUGGAAAGUUUCGGCGGUUGGGGAUGGACUCGCGGCUUAUCAGCUUGUUGGUGGGGUAGUGGCUUACCAAGGCUUUGACGGGUAGCCGGCCUGAGAGGGUGACCGGCCACAUUGGGACUGAGAUACGGACCAGACUCCUACGGGAGGCAGCAGUGGGGAAUAUUGCACAAUGGGCGGAAGCCUGAUGCAGCAACGCCGCGUGCGGGAUGACGGCCUUCGGGUUGUAAACCGCUUUCGCCUGUGACGAAGCGUGAGUGACGGUAAUGGGUAAAGAAGCACCGGCUAACUACGUG